rnacentral:rRNA from 1 species
UACGAAGGGGGCGAGCGUUGUUCGGAUUUACUGGGCGUAAAGGGCGCGUAGGCGGCCCUUCUGGUCGCGUGUGAAAGCCCCGGGCUCAACCUGGGGGCUGCGUUUGAUACGUGCGGGCUUGAGUUCGGAAGAGGGUCGUGGAAUUCCCAGUGUAGAGGUGAAAUUCGUAGAUAUUCGCAAGAACACCAGUGGCGAAGGCGGCUCACUGGCCCGAUACUGACGCUGAGGCACGAAAGCGUGGGGAGCAAACAGG